rnacentral:lncRNA from 1 species
CUGGAAUAAGUACAACUCUGAGUUUAUUGCAUCUAACACCAUUUCAUGGUCCACCUUCUUCUUCAAUUGAGCCUGAUUUUGAAUUGAAAAUUCAUCGACACGUUACAGCAAAUAAUUGGUGCAAAACUAAGACAAUAGGAGGUUAGCAAUCCUGAUUUCGCCUCUCUUUCAUUCUAGAGUAGUCCAAAUUCUACUUUGCGUUUGGUGAAAGAGGAAUGACAACAAAGGUCGAGAAAGCAUUCAAUAUGACAAUCAUAUCAAACUAAGCAGAUUCAUUUGUUUCAACGACCAGUUUUGGAUGGGAUUGUGCUUGAAAAACAAUCUUACUUCUAAAUCAGAUUUUUUUUUCUUUGAUGUAACAACGGAAGGUAGAGCAGAUGUGUUUAUCCCACUGCCCAACACAAACUGGUAAGUUGCUUCUUUUCUUUGUAAUAUUGUUAGCUCUUCUUUCUUUACUUUAUUUUGACUGAUUUCAGCUCGUAUAUUGUAACAAGAAUUUAGUAUUGAUAUGUUUCAUACUUUUGUAUUAAUGUAGGUUAACUUAUAAAAAAAGUAUUGACUUUUCAUAAUAUGCUAUGAAACGACAUCAACAGGCUUUUGCCCAAAAUCAAGUAUUGGGAUAUUCUUGAAAAUUACUAGAAAUAUUAUGCUGUUCCCACUUAGAUUUGUUGAUUCUAGCUAUAGCAUUCAAGUUAGAUCAAAUGAUGUAUAUAGUUUGAAAAAUUUAGGAAAAAUUGGAUAGUUUGGACCAAGCUAAAUUAUGGUUUUUGAAAACUUGAGCAGAAGACAAGUCACGCUUAAGCUGACAUUUUUCGUACUUUAUUAACAUGAGCCAAGCUUAAGAGAGCAAAUUCGUCGUUUAUCAAGACCGUUGGUGGGGAAAACAAUGGAAAAAUACUUGAGGAGGAGUACGAAUAUGUAGAAGAGGCUUGACAGCAUAGACCGGUAGAGUAGGGAGGGGGAAGGGAUUGGGAAGGAAGAGAUGAGUUUCAGUUUUACCCUUUUCUUUAUACUAGUCGCAUGCCCGUGCAAUGCACGGGCUGUGUUAUUUUUUAAGGUAAUAUUAGUGUGUCUAGCGUUAAGGAUUGAUGAGAGACAUGUGCAGUAGAUUGAUUUGAUAAGGUAAAUUUACAUAUAAUGUAACUAAUAAAAGCUAUAGUCACGAUGCAUCUAGAGAUCAUCAAGAAAUAAAGUACACUUUAAAAAAGACAAAAAAAUUAGCAAACAAAAUUUAAGUGUAUAAAGGGACCUGAACAACAUGCCAUCAUUUUCCAAAAGUUUAACAGUGAUAUUAGUAGUCUUGAAUGUGCAUAUUUUGUAUAAAUAAAGUUUUGAUAUUUUCAAUUAAGUAUACAAUCCUAAAAUGGAUCAAUUGGCUUUAGUAAACAUAUAUUUGUACCGACAUAGAGAAAGAUAGAGGGGGAGGGAGAGAUGACUAACAAAAUCAUUUAGUACCCUACAAGUAUUAAGCAUAUUUGAUCUUUCAUUUAAAGAGUCCAAAGACACUUCAUGUUCAUCGGCACACACAAAAGAAUGUAACAAUUGAUCAUGACUGGGAGCCCAUGAAUCAAUGACAAAGGUUAGUUAUCUGACAGUUGAAUGCCCACUCUAUCAUCACUGUCCAUGACCAUAACCAUAAGACCAGUGUUAAAUGCGGAUUUGCAGAGCCAACCAUAAGUUGAGAAUCUGCACAUAAAAAACAGUCAUUCAAAACUUUAUCAUGCAUAGAAACUAUAAGCUCCUACUUUUAGACAGUUUAUUUUAAAUGACAUACCUUCAACCCUUGUAACAUCAAUCAUGAAACCAGAUUGAGGCCUAUGAAAUGGAUUAGGCAUAGGCAUCUCAUUCAACAGUCAAAAUAACAUGUUAGAAUAUGUGGAACAACAUAAUCAGAAAGAUAACAUCGUUGAAUUUAUAAACCAUUAUUUCUUACUUUUUUUUCUUGUUACCUUGGAUGAACUGGCAGGUAAAAGUGUAGAAGGGAGUGCAAAACCAAGCAAUACUACUGCAACAGCACCAUCUUCCAGGAGUGCAAGUGAAUUAGUCUACAGAAGUAAGAAAAACUAUACUAAAAGAAAAGUUUAACUUUUUUGCAAUGCCAUAGUGGUAAACGACAAUGUAUGUAAUAUGAUUGUCUUAAAUCAUUAACAUGAAUGCAUUGAAUGCAUUGCAAUCUAUAUUUUUUUAUUGCUUUUCAUGUGCCACAUACUUUUAGGGAAAGCUGAGAAUGCAUUGA